rnacentral:rRNA from 1 species
UCCUCCGGGAGGCAGCAGCAGGGAAUCUUGGGCAAUGGGCGAAAGCCUGACCCAGCGACGCCGCGUGGAGGAAGAAGUCCUUCGGGGCGUAAACUCCUGGACUGGGGGACGAGGAAGGACGGUACCCCAGUAGAAAGGGACGGCUAACUACGUGCCAGCAGCCGCGGUAAAACGUAGGUCCCGAGCGUUGUUCGGAUUCACUGGGUGUAAAGGGCGCGUAGGUGGUUGUCUGUGUCUCAUGUGAAAACUCAGGGCUCAACUCUGAGAUUGCGUGGGAAACUAGGCAGCUAGAGGACGGUAGAGGGGAGUGGAAUUCCCGGUGUAGCGGUAAAAUGCGUAGAUAUCGGGAGGAACACCGGUGGCGAAGGCGGCUCUCUGGGCCGAUCCUGACGCUGAGGCGCGAAAGCUAGGGGAGCGAACCGGAUUAGAUACCCGGGUAGUCCUAGCCGUAAACGAUGGGUGCUAGGUGUUGGGGGGUAAAGACCCUUCAGUGCCGAAGCCAACGCGAUAAGCUCCCAC